CCUACGGGUGGCAGCAGUGAGGAAUAUUGGUCAAUGGUGGAAACACUGAACCAGCAACGCCGCGUGAGGGAAGACGGUUUUCGGAUUGUAAACCUCUGUUCUCUGUGAAGAUGAUGACGGUAGCUGUGGAGGAAUCUCCGUCUAUCUACGUGCCAGCAGCCGCGGUAAUACGUAGGGAGCAAGCGUUGUCCGGAUUUACUGGGUGUAAAGGGUGCGUAGUCGGGUUUGCAAGUCAGACGUGAAAUCCAUGGGCUUAACCUAUGAACUGCGUUUGAAACUGGAGAUCUGGAGUGGAGUCGAGGUAGGCGGAAUGCGCGGUGUAGCGGUGAAAUGCGUAGAGAUCGGGAAGAACACCGGUGGCGAAGGCGGCCUGCUGGGCCCUAACUGACGCUGAGGCACGAAAGCGUGGGUAGCGAACAGGAUUAGAUACCCCGGUAGUC
rnacentral:rRNA from 1 species